ensembl:rRNA 5S_rRNA 5S ribosomal RNA
AUAUAUGGCCAUACCACCCUGAUUGCACUGGAUUUUGUCUGAUAUUGGAAACUAAGAAGGGUUGGGUCUGGUUAGUACUUGGAUGAGAGAAAUAAAACAACCUCCAAAUCUGAACUGUACAUU